CCCUUAGAUGUUCUGGGCCGCACGCGUGCUACACUGAGUGGAUCAGCGGGUCAGGUUGCGCGAAAGCGUUUCCUAAUCUUUAAAUCCGCUCGUGAUGGGGAUUGACGGUUGCAAUUUUCUGUCAUGAACGAGGAAUACCUUGUAAGCGCGGGUCAUCAUCCCGCGCUGAAUACGUCCCUGCCCUUUGUACACACCGCCCGUCGCUCCUACCGAUGAAUCGUCCGGUGAAGUUCAUGGAGUGGUGGUUGUUCCAGCUGCUGUCGAAGUGAAAUGGACCUCACGAUUUAGAGGAAGGAGAAGUCGUAACA
rnacentral:rRNA from 1 species